AAGGCAAGCCACCACACUUAUUUACAAUUUUUUUACCAAUGAUCUCCAAAUUUGAAUGUGCUUCAACACUUCUAUUCUCAAAUGCAUGUCUGGCAAAAACUAACCAACAAUCAUCAUCAGAAAUUUGUUUCAACUCAUGACAUUCAACAGUUCCCAUCAUUUCUGCAAUAUCCCUAUCACGCGUUGUCACAAUUACAUUACUUCCUGGUGCUCCAGCCAUAAAUGGAAUGCGCAGGACAUUCCAGUCACUGUACUUCUUAUUCCAGACAUCAUCUAAAACAAUUAGAAACCUUUUUCCUGAUAAUUCAUUAUUCAAUUUGAGCUGAACUUGAUUCAACUCCUUUAGAUCACAGGGCUCCAAAGUGAUGGACUCAAGAAUACCCUUUGUUAUUCUCAUAAUGUCAAAGUCAUCGGACACACAAACCCAUGCUUUUGGAUGGAAUUUUUGCAAUUCUUUGUCAUGGUAUACAAGCCUGGCCAGUGUCGUUUUACCGACCCCACCCAUGCCAACAAUGGGUAUGAUGCUAACUUUUGCCUCACUUGCUUCACCCAUUGAAAGCAACUGAAGUAUCUUCCUCUUAUCUUCAUCUCUACCAUACACUUGAG
rnacentral:misc_RNA from 1 species